AACGAACGCUGGCGGCAGGCUUAACACAUGCAAGUCGAGCGGGGACUUCGGUCCUAGCGGCGAACGGGUGAGGAAUGCUUGGGAAUCUGCCUUGUAGUGGGGGAUAACGUUUCGAAAGGAACGCUAAUACCGCAUACGUCCUACGGGAGAAAGGGGGGGAUCUUCGGACCUCUCGCUAUAAGAUGAGCCCAAGUCGGAUUAGCUAGUUGGUGGGGUAAAGGCUCACCAAGGCGACGAUCCGUAGCUGGUCUGAGAGGAUGAUCAGUCACACUGGAACUGAGACACGGUCCAGACUCCUACGGGAGGCAGCAGUGGGGAAUAUUGGACAAUGGGCGAAAGCCUGAUCCAGCCAUGCCGCGUGUGUGAAGAAGGCCUUCGGGUUGUAAAGCACUUUAAGCGAGGAGGAAUAGCUCUGGGUUAAUACCCUUGAGCAGUGACGUUACUCGCAGAAUAAGCACCGGGUAACUCUGUGCCAGCCGCCGCCGUAAAAC
rnacentral:rRNA from 1 species